AUGGCAAAAUUUAUUAAAGUACACUUUCAAGAUUUCACAAUUAAUCCCAUUCUCCUGGGCUAUAAGUUAAUGGACAUUUUCCCAGACUUCAAGAACAAAGUAUAGCCAGCCAGCUGGCCUUUCAUGGACAAUGGACAUUCUUGCACAGGGGUAUCUUAGAAUUAUGUAUUUCAAACAUCUGAAGGACCUUCAGUUAUCCCCACUAACAUCCCUCUUGCUGUUGCCCUUCCUGUCACCUUCAGACAGCUGCAGAGAAGCUUUUGUUCAGAUACAGAAAUUCCCCAGUUUUGACCUCUCCCGCAGGCAGGUUGUCUCCUCUUGCAAAUCCUCCUCUACCAUUUUGAAUUACACAAUAUUUAGCAGUCUGUGCAAGUGCAAAAUAGCCAAGGCAUUUUGAUGGUUCAGAAUAGUGUCCUCUCCACUGGGCUGUAUGUAUACAUUUUGUUUUAUUUUUUCCAAGUAGUGUAGUGAAAAAGAAAGGGUUCACCAUGUUUUCUCAGCUUCAGUAAGACAGACAUCAGUGUUCAACCCUGUACCUAAACCAGAGCAUUAAUUUAGGAUCUUGGCUCCUUUCAGGGAUGGUGUUUUACCCCUCCAGAUCACCAGAUCUUUUGUUCUCCAGGCCCAACUCAUGUAAAAGCCAUGUUUUCCAGUUGUGCUGGCUCUGAUUCGGGGAGCCCUGUGACAGUCCUGUGCUCUCCAGCAGCACCUUGACAACAUUUCUGUUGACUCAGACUAUUUGCUUCCAGUCCGCCAAACUUUGUUCCUCUAAGCACAGAUUUUUCUCUUCAGCUAUUCUUUCCAAAAGUUAGCUUGCUCCUAUGAAGAUGUUAGAUCUGAUUUAUCCAAAAUCUUCAGUGUGUAAUUCUUCCCACAAUGGUUCAUAACAUUCUUCAUUCAGUACUCUCCUGAAAACCCAAGCCUGUAUUUCUUUUUCUGCAGUGUUUGUUUUACCACCAGUAAUGUGUAACUCCCACAUGCCGUAGGCACACACAUCAGCUUAGUGCCUUUGCUCUUCUGCGUCUCUGGAAAGAGGUUUUCUGACAUUCCUGAAUGCAACUGCACCCUUCUCCUAAGUCAGAAAACUUCUCUCACACAGGUUAUGUUAUCAGCUGUAGAAGCCAGGCUGAAGC
rnacentral:lncRNA from 1 species